GGCUCAGGAUGAACGCUAGCUACAGGCUUAACACAUGCAAGUCGCGGGGCAGCAUGUAUCUGGCUUGCCAGAUACGAUGGCGACCGGCGCACGGGUGAGUAACGCGUAUCCAGCCUGCCCAUAACCACGGCACAGCCCGUCGAAAGGCGGAUUAAUGCCGUAUGAGGUUCCAGAGUAGCAUUAUUAUGGAACGAAAGGAUUGGCGGUUAUGGAUGGGGAUGCGUCCGAUUAGCUUGUUGGCGGGGUAACGGCCCACCAAGGCGACGAUCAGUAGGGGUUCUGAGAGGAAGGUCCCCCACAUUGGAACUGAGACACGGUCCAAACUCCUACGGGAGGCAGCAGUGAGGAAUAUUGGUCAAUGGGCGAAAGCCUGAACCAGCCAAGUAGCGUGCAGGAUGACGGCCCUAUGGGUUGUAAACUGCUUUUAUAAGGGAAUAAAGUGAGAGUCGUGACUCUUUUGUAUGUACCUUAUGAAUAAGGACCGGCUAAUUCCGUG
rnacentral:rRNA from 1 species